GGGGGGUGUACAUUUUGGGGAUUUCUGAAUGUCCUGGUAGAUGGUGAAUUUAAGAUGCUGUCACUCACAGGUGAUUCCACUUUGUGAUAACAUGAUGGGAAAUGUGAGUGCACAUUGUGAUGUAAUGUCUUUUUAACCUUUGUUAGAAAUGUAUAAUUUUCCUUCUUCGAUCCUUUGAACUAUAUAUUUUUAUUUACAGUUACCAAUCACCAAAACAUAUUUUGUUGUGUAUGUUAGUACUUUAAUAGUAGUUCCAUGUCAUAAAGUACUUUAUUUAAAAUAUGAGCUUCAAAUAGGACAUUGUUAGGAUUUUUUGUAAGUUGAAAUACACUCUCAUUUAACUUAAAAUUGACUGGUGAACAGACUACUUGAUGCACCUGUAACAACCGUAUGGCCCGGACGCGUACGGAACCCAAUUAAUUUAAAGGUCAAGUUCCUUGCGGGCUGUGUUAUGUUAUUCUUUAAUUUUUUUCAUGCUCCUCGUUUGUUAGCCCAUACUACCAUAGACUGCUGGUUAAAGUUUUUGAGAAUUAUUUAUUUGCAUUCUAGCUAAAGCUACAUGUACACAACUUAUUUUAGGCAUUUUUUCACUUUAAGAGAAAGGCCAAUUUUGUUCACUAGACUACUCCUACUUGAUCCUAGACUUUAUGAGUUUUAAUCAAUAUUUACUUUCUUGUAUCCAUUUGAUAAUGUACCCAAAGCCUUCCAUGUUUUCAUGAAAGUCUGUGUUGUUGCUUUAUUGGGAAGCUUAUCCUUUAUUUUAUACAUGGUUCUUAUGGACAGACUGUUUGUUUUUAUAGAAAAACUACAUAAGGUGCGGGUUAAUUCCCAGUGACAGAUGAAACUUGGAUUCCCAAAAUUAAUAUUAACAAAUUUUAUUACUAGAGUUUGUCACAUUGGUGAAGAGAGACAAUAAAGAUCAGAAUGAUUAAAAAA